rnacentral:lncRNA from 1 species
GGGCAGGGGCAGACGAGACUCUCCGGUCGAUAAAAGGAAGAUUCCCGUAGGAAGCCUGGCAUCUCCAAGUGUGUGGGUUUUUUUCCUUUUUUUUUUUUAAAAUGCCUUCCUCUACCCGAACCUCAGCCUCCAGUGUAGAAAAUGAGGGUGCUCACUCGGAGCUGGAGGAUUGUGGACCAGUAACCACACAGGAGCACACCAGUGGUGACUUCCAAAUUGGACCCAGGAAGGUGCCAAGAGCAGCCCUAUUUAGAACACCUUCUCUCCGGGGGAUUAAAGGUGGGAACCUAGGCCGGAAGGGAUUGGGGGAGAGGGAAAGGAUGGACAGACAGCUACCUCCCUGCAAAGCAUUCUUGAGAGAACAAUCGCCUUUGUUUUCAGCCGGCUGACAGUUGCUUGGGAAGAGCAGCUGGAUCAGGGCUUAGGGCAGGUUAUAGCCUGCGUGUACAUGUGAGGUCUCCUGGUGACCAAGGGCCCAGGUGGGUGAACCUGGAAUGUUGAUGCUAAAGCAGGGCUGAGGGGGUGUUUGCCUCAUUGUCUGCAGGCCGGCACCCCUUGCUCUCCUUGCACUGGCUUCUGAAGGUUCCACCAGCUACCACCUCCCAGAGAAUUCCUGCUUCCACCAGAGGAGGAUGCUUGAUGCAAACUGAUGGUCUGCCUGGAAGUGGCUUUGGUCCACAACUACCUGGAGAAUCAAAAAACAAAGCAAAACAAAACAAAACAAAACAAAAAAAACCCACAAAACAGAUUCCCCAGGGAUCCUUUGAGUCGGAAUCUCAGUGGGAAGGCUGCCUGAGGAUUGUUUUUCUAAAGCCUCUCCUCAGGUACGGAGGUGGUACGGAAACUGAAGACUUAUAAAGACCUUUCUAGCAUGAAUACAGUCUUUGUUGUGCUUUAAACCUGCAAAUGCUUGUUAACUAGUUGGAAUUCCAAAUCCACAAACUGGCUAAACUUCUGUGGGCCUGAGUGGUAUCUGGGGCGGAUUCUUCUGACCGGUAUCUUUCCUAAGAUGGGCCAGGAGGGCCUUCCCCCUGGAUUCUUUCAGACUUUUGAGCUCCUAGCACAGGGACUCAGUAGCUUUGGGCUUAUGUUGCCAAGAUCUGACGCCUUAGAAGGGGUAGACAUGGCUGACACAGGGAGGAGGGAGAACAAGUCCCCCUACUUGCCCAAGCCCAGAGUGUUCCUACAGCUUCUGUCUGAUGGCUCCUGCCUGAUGCCCUCCCAAUCAACUGUCUCUCUUUCAUCCCCCACUUUCCCCUGAAACCCUCUCCUGCUUCCUUAGGACUUAUUUCCUCGUAUUCCCUGCAGUCCAUAGGCAUUCACGCUUACGGCCUUUAAAGCGGAUCUUUUCGACUUACAUAUUCUUGCUCAACGUAUAUUGUAUCUCAGUCAUCAAUUCAUUCAACACAUGUUUGUUGAGUUUCCUGCUUUGUGCCAGACUUUUGUGGGCCACAUUGGUGAACAAACUUGACAAAGACCCUUGCUCUCAUGGGAUGCAUAUUCUAACAGGAUGAUACACAUUUACUUAUGGGUUUAAAAGAAAGAAAGGACUGCAGGGCUGGAGCCCGGUUGGUAGAGCUAGGCUAAUACACACAAAGCACUGGGUUUUCAUCCCCAGCAGCACAAAAACACUAUGGC